CUUAAAUUUACUAUUUGCAAUAAUUUCAACCAGUCAGAUACCAAAAACGUGUAAGAACUUAUUGCAACUUAAUUAAGAAUAGGCCGGCUACUACAACUAGGAGUACAACCAAUUUUUUUCUGCAUGGACCACAUUGAUUUGACAUUCGCCCCUGCUAAUUACUCUUUUCUUAAUUCAUGAUUUUAGCUCUUAAUUCCUUCUAAAUUUAUAUUUACACGAAUCUUGCACUUUUUCUUAUUAUUCAAUUUAGCUUUUUAGGCAAACGGAAAACAUCUAUCUUGAUCGGAUAGAGAACAUGAAAACACCAUCUGAUCAAAUAUACAAGUAAAUCUGAAACCAAUGUUACUUCAUCCAUCCCAAUUUAUGCUGUGCUAUUAGGUGGGGAGUUUAAGAAAAAAGUAGUGACUUUUAAAACUUAUGAUUCAAAACAGGUCUUAGAUAUUUAUGAUUGUAAAUCAUCAUAUUAAGGGAAAAAAUUAGUAUAUUCAAAGUUAAAUUGUUUCUAGAUAUAGAAAAUUAAUAUAUUUUUUU